rnacentral:lncRNA from 1 species
CUUACUUUUCAAGUUCUCCACUUUUUCUCAUGCUGACAUCAGACAUCAUAAUAUCUUCAAACAUGAAAUUAAAACCUUUGAAGGAAGAUGUUUCUUAUUUAGUAUAAUCGAUCCCUUUUUUUUUUUGAGAUUGUUUAUUCUUUUUGCUGUGAACCAGUAUUAUUUUUAUUUUUUUUAUCUUUAGUAAAACAUAUAUAAAAGUUUAUAAU